GUCAGGAUGGCCGAGUGGUCUAAGGCGCCAGACUCAAGCUCUCGCUUCCCUCCUCGGGGUUUCUGGUCUCCGCAUGGAGGCGUGGGUUCGAAUCCCACUUCUGACA
rfam:Ictidomys tridecemlineatus contig091288, whole genome shotgun sequence.